rnacentral:rRNA from 1 species
UACGUAGGGGGCAAGCGUUAUCCGGAUUUACUGGGUGUAAAGGGAGCGCAGACGGCAGUGCAAGUCUGGAGUGAAAGCCCGGGGCCCAACCCCGGAACUGCUCUGGAAACUGUGCGGCUAGAGUACCGGAGGGGCAGGCGGAAUUCCUGGUGUAGCGGUGAAAUGCGUAGAUAUCAGGAGGAACACCGGUGGCGAAGGCGGCCUGCUGGACUGCGACUGACGUUGAGGCCCGAAAGCGUGGGGAGCAAACAGG